GCUCCUCCCAACCUGCCGGCCGCUCGCUCGCUCCGCCGCGGACCCGGAGCUCGGGGAAGGGCGGGGCGCAGGGGGCGGAGUCGGCCCCGGCUGGCAAGCGCCAGAAUUAAAGCCCGAACCGCACGGCCGCCGCCGGGGCGGGGAAGCCGGGGCGGACCAGCAAGCCUCUCACCCGCGGUGGGCGACAGCUGUGGCUGCGCCCCGGAGCGGCGCGUGAGAAGAACGGCGCGGGCCGGCGAAGCCCCGGCUGCUCCCUCCGCCCAGAGGACGCCCGGCUCCCCGCGGGGGCGCUCUUUGUACCGCGGAGCCGGCCGCGGGCGGCCCUCAGUGCGCCUGCGCGCCGCUGCAACUCCACCAGGCCCGCGGGGCACCUUCGUGCACCUUCGUCGCCGCGCCUGGCCCGCGGGCCUCGCCGCGGCGAGAACUAAGCAGAAGAACUUCCUCCACCGCGGUUCGCUCCUUCUGCCAACCCGUAUUUACCACGUCCAUCCUCGCACACACACCCGCAAGGGGAGAAGAAAUCCAGCCCCCGUGAGACGGUGCGGUGCUCCCAUCUCCGGCUGGGGCGGGGGUUCUGGCAACGAGGCUGGCCUGCUCGACGUCCUCCCCCAGCGCCUCUGUACCUCCUCUCCCUCCCCGGGUGAGGGGGACCGGAGCGUGCAGAGCUCUGUUUCCUGCAGGUGCCUCGUCAGCACGGUCGCCCCGGCGGCCAGAAACCUCCCGCCUCCAAGGGCACCUCCCUUGUGACCUCCGUGCAUUCGCCCUGGCUCGGCUGCAGGACAGAGUCCUCGGCGGAAAGGGGAGGAUGCGUGUUCAGAAGGUUGCAGGUCUCUGGGGACUCCACAGAAGACCCAACGCCUGCCUCGGGGGCUCAGGAUUGAACUGGCUUCCUAGUUCAGUCCCAAAUACUCGAUUUGGAGCAAUCCAGUAGGUCCAUGAGAAAUUAGUAGGGAUUGAGAAGCUGUGACUUCAGUCUUUUUCAAAUUGAAGGUGGCUUGAACAAACAGAAGAGGAGCUUGGGAACUGAAGGGACGACUUUAUAAAAACCAGGUAUUACUCAAAAAACAAUGUUAGCUCUGCAGUCAACUGAUUUUCUUAAGGGAGAGAGUCCUCCCCUCACCCCCAAGCUCUCUAGCACCGCACACAUCCAGCAGGGCGUUACACACGCUCAGUCUUUUUUGUGAGUGUGCAAGUGAAGAGCCAUCAAACUUCACAAGGCGACAUGCUUGCCUCUGGGGAGAAGACGCUGCUUUUCCACAGUUCACAGCGAAGCACACCUGCAAAUUCCUGAACUUGAUGGCUCCUGACUGUUUAGGGAAUAGGCAAAGGGCAGCCGGAAGAUAUGUGAAGGCAGGAAAGCUCAUUUUGAAUCUCAGCGCCUUUGCCAGCUCACUGGGUGGCAGUAAGCAAACUCUUUCCUCCUCCUGGGCCUUGCUUUUUCGUCUGUAGAGUAGGGCAUUUGGAUGCAGUAGAUAUUUUCUAAAAUCCCCCACCACCACCACCCCGCCCCAAAUGUCUACUCUUCUAUGAAAAGGAGAAUUGUUUGCAUGGUGAUAAGGGAUGAGAUAUCAGAGGCAGGAAGACUCCUGCAUUUUAAAAGUGCUCGUCGGCCAGGCGCAGUGGCUCAGGCCUAUAAUCCUCACACUUUGGGAGGCCGAGACAGGUAGAUCAGUUGACCCCAGGAGUUCUG
rnacentral:lncRNA from 10 species